rnacentral:lncRNA from 1 species
UUCGAUUGAGUUGAGAUUGAGAGAAGAAAUAAUUAAGAGAGCGAGAAUGAUGCAUCGAUAACAUUGACAAGCGAAGGUGCAAGGCUUUGUUUAGUAUAGUUUUUUGAAUAAAACUUUUGUAGUAAAGCUUAAAUAGAGCUUUUAAAAAAACAGUUGUUAGAAUGUUUAGUUUUUAAUUAAAAAAACUCUUUUAAACGAUUUAGUUAUAUAAUUCUAAAAAUACUUUUGUAAAAUAAAUUUAUAAACAAAAAUAUAUAAAUUUUCCCCCCCUUCUCUUCUUCCCAAUUAGUCUUAACAAAUUAAUUUUCUCCAGAUUUAUUUCCUUGCAUUUACUUACCCGCCAGUACUUCUAUCUGUUUUCUCUUCACAGGAUGAAGGCAAUUAUUGGAAAAAUAUCGGACAAGGCUAUGUUGUGUUUGACAGGUCUUCUCAAGAGGGUCGAGUUGAUUUAUGUUAAGAGGUGUGAAUGAACUUGAGUUGAUGAGAUUUCUUCUAAAGAAUGGACAGUGCUGCAGAGAAUGAGUUUCAGCUGGGCGGAAGACUUCGAGAAUCGCAGGGAGAUUAUCUCAAGGGUAAUGAAGUUUUCCAGAUCAUCUUCAAGUGUUGCUCUCAAAUUCUUUGAUCCUAAUCGAGGGAAUGUUUUGUUUUUUCAAGAUCUAAUUAAGAUGACAGGCUUGGGAGGAAAAACAUGCGAUAGAAAAUUUGUAAGUUUAUACGUAUUUGUUCGAAGUAACAUUCUUUUGGAUUUGAGGAAACAACGUCAAUUGCAAUGACGGCCUAAUGCUUUAUUUGAAGCACCAACUACCUAAUUAUCUUUUGAAUUGAUAUAUUGCUCAACGAGUCAGUUCUGUCCUAGUUGAUGAAUUUUACUAUUCAU